AUCUAGAUGACCCAAAAAAUACAGCAUAUGCCAAACAGCUACUCCUUUUCUUCCGUUGCAAAAACAGGUAAACACACCUCCCAUUCUUAGACCAGAAGCCAACAAGAAACGCACGGAAAACAAAACAAAAAUGUUCCCUCCCUCCCACUUCCUCUUCCUUCCUAUUCCAACUCCCCCCAAAAAAAGGUCACCAACCCAGAGCACCCGGAGCACCACCAAACGCCGGCCGGACGCAGAGGCAGGCAGCGGCAGAGGCCCGGCGCCCUUCCAUGCUCGCCGGCGCCGGCCGCCGCUGAUGCCCAGCCCGCCCAAGGACCGCCCCGCCGGCCGCCUCGGCCGCCUCAUCUCCGCGCUCCGCCCCGCGCGCGCCGGCCCGCUCCCCGUCCAGACCGGCUUCCCCACCUCCCUCGCCGACCUCUUCGUCAAGAACCAUGGCCGCCUCAAGAAGCAGCAGGGGCCCUCCUCCGGCAGGCGCAAGAGGCGCGGCGCUCCCCCCUUGCCUUCCCCGGUGCCCUCUCCCCCGCCUCCCUCUCCUCCACCGCCGUCGCCCCCGCCGGCCGCCGUCUCCCCGCCGUCGGCCCAGCCAGGGCCCGAUCCUCCGCGGGCGGAGCCCGUCUGCCGCCCCGGAGGCCAAGCCGCCGGCCUCGGAUUGGGGUUCCUCGCGCUCGUCGGCGUGGCGUCCCUCGCCCUCCUCGUGAUCUGGAGCAGGAAGGUGGUUGCGGCCGUCACCGUCGCCGCCUUCUCGCUCUUCCUGCUGGAAUCCGUCAGGGCGUCCUCGCUUCGACGGCGGCCCCGGCCCCCGGCGCCCACCACGGAGCUGGAUAUCGACGGGCGCGGCUACGUCUCGCCGAUCCGGGAGCUGGAGGCGGAGCCGGAGCCGCUGGGAUCGAGCUUCUCCGACUCCGGCAGGGGGUUCAGCGCCUCCACCCUCGGCAUUGACGAGAGGAGCGAGGCCGGCGAGGAUUCGUGCGUUUGGGAGCCGAAGCCGAGGAAGAGGUCGCCGUGGAGGAAGCUGAUCCCCCGAAAAUUGCAGAGAGGCCGGAAGGUUGCCAAGGACUCGGGCUCCCUGUCAAGUUCUUUCCGGUCAAGUUCCUUCCGCAGCGAGGUCAGCCUAGCGGAUUCAACGGUCGGCGGCAAUGCAAUUGCCAGGGCGACGGAUCCCCCGGACUCUCGCCGCGGCAGACGCAGCCAAGCGAAUGCCAAGGGGGAGACCGCCGCUGCCAGAUCGCGGGACUCAUCGGGCCGUCUCCGCCUUGGCAUCAUGGGCGACGGCGACGGCGCCGGCAUCAAAUCCGCUGAUUCAUCGGGCCCUCUCCGCGGCAUGGGCGGCGCCGAGGUGCGCAACAACGGCGCUUCGAUAGAAAUCGAGGAGCCGGCCGGUGUCGCGGUGGCGGACGGCGUUGGCGUAGGACGAGGAGGAGGAGGAGGGUUUCCCUUGGCAGCUGUGACCGUGGUCGUCCUCGUAGGCUUGGUCGCCGGGCGGCUCCCGGCCGUGGCGCUCACCGUGCUGGUGUGCGCGGCGCUCCAGAGACUGCGGCGGGACGGGACGGUGGUGCCGGCUUGGGAGGGGAGGGGAGGCGGUUAGAGCUUUCCAUGGCGGGCGUAGGAGGAGCCUCCCGAUCCCAAGGUUGAUGUAUGUAAAUUAGUGAGUGAGUGCCAUUAAACAGCAGGAGUGAGUGAACGGUGGUACUAUAAUCCUUCCUUACUACAUACUUGUUCUUAAGUUAUUCAAAAGCUUGAGCGCAUUCCGUGAUCCCUGAUGGUCUCUCCUCCGGCACCCUAGUGGAAUUCAGCAUCCAGUUCUUGUGCCAUUCACCCGCCCGCACAAACGUCCAUUCACGCCGCCAAUGGCCGGCCGGGCUGGUCUCCGCCAUGGCCACAGGGUGUUGGGACAGAGAGGACCAACUGGUCGAGUGCAGAUGGCACAUGCCCUGCAACCCCAACACGACGAGCAGAAACUUGGGCGUUUUAGCGAGAACGUAGAGCGAGACAAAGCGCAAGCUCCGUC
rnacentral:rRNA from 1 species